UACGUAGGGUGCGAGCGUUGUCCGGAAUUAUUGGGCGUAAAGAGCUCGUAGGCGGUGUGUCGCGUCGGCCGUGAAAACCUGCAGCUUAACUGUGGGCUUGCGGUCGAUACGGGCAUCACUGGAGUUCGGCAGGGGAGACUGGAAUUCCUGGUGUAGCGGUGAAAUGCGCAGAUAUCAGGAGGAACACCGGUGGCGAAGGCGGGUCUCUGGGCCGGCACUGACGCUGAGGAGCGAAAGCGUGGGGAGCGAACAGG
rnacentral:rRNA from 1 species